AGAGUUUGAUCCUGGCUCAGGAUGAACGCUAGCGACAGGCUUAACACAUGCAAGUCGAGGGGCAGCGGGGGCGAAGCUUGCUUCGCCUGCCGGCGACCGGCGCACGGGUGAGUAACACGUAUGCGACCUGCCCCCCGCAGGGGGAUAACCGGGAGAAAUCCCGACUAAUACCGCGUAACGCCGCUGGGCUGCAUGGCCCGGCGGCCAAAGGAAGCGAUUCCGGCGGGGGAUGGGCAUGCGGCGCAUUAGCUAGUCGGCGGGGUAACGGCCCACCGAGGCGACGAUGCGUAGGGGUUCUGAGAGGAAGGUCCCCCACACUGGUACUGAGACACGGACCAGACUCCUACGGGAGGCAGCAGUGAGGAAUAUUGGUCAAUGGGCGGGAGCCUGAACCAGCCAAGUCGCGUGAGGGAAGACGGUCCUACGGAUUGUAAACCUCUUUUGCCGGGGAGCAACGGGGUCCUUGCGAGGGCCCGAUGAGAGUACCCGGAGAAAAAGCAUCGGCUAACUCCGUGCCAGCAGCCGCGGUAAUACGGAGGAUGCGAGCGUUAUCCGGAUUUAUUGGGUUUAAAGGGUGCGUAGGCGGGCUGUUAAGUCAGCGGUCAAAUGUCGGGGCUCAACCCCGGCCUGCCGUUGAAACUGGCGGCCUCGAGUGGGCGAGAAGUAUGCGGAAUGCGUGGUGUAGCGGUGAAAUGCAUAGAUAUCACGCAGAACUCCGAUUGCGAAGGCAGCAUACCGGCGCCCGACUGACGCUGAGGCACGAAAGCGUGGGUACCGAACAGGAUUAGAUACCCUGGUAGUCCACGCAGUAAACGAUGAAUGCUAGCUGUCCGGUUCUACGGGACUGGGUGGCACAGCGAAAGCGUUAAGCAUUCCACCUGGGGAGUACGCCGGCAACGGUGAAACUCAAAGGAAUUGACGGGGGCCCGCACAAGCGGAGGAACAUGUGGUUUAAUUCGAUGAUACGCGAGGAACCUUACCCGGGCUCAAACGCCAAAGGACAGCCGCUGAAAGGCGGCCUCCCUCCGGGGUCUUUGGCGAGGUGCUGCAUGGUUGUCGUCAGCUCGUGCCGUGAGGUGUCGGCUUAAGUGCCAUAACGAGCGCAACCCCCAUCGACAGUUGCUAACGGGUGAUGCCGAGGACUCUGUCGAGACUGCCGGCGCAAGCUGCGAGGAAGGCGGGGAUGACGUCAAAUCAGCACGGCCCUUACGUCCGGGGCGACACACGUGUUACAAUGGCCGGUACAGCGGGAUGCCAGGGCGCGAGCCCGAGCGGAACCCGAAAACCGGUCUCAGUUCGGAUUGGAGUCUGCAACCCGACUCCAUGAAGCUGGAUUCGCUAGUAAUCGCGCAUCAGCCACGGCGCGGUGAAUACGUUCCCGGGCCUUGUACUCACCGCCCGUCAAG
rnacentral:rRNA from 1 species